rnacentral:misc_RNA from 1 species
UCUCCGUUGGUGAACCAGCGGAGGGAUCAUUACCGAGUUUACAACUCCCAAACCCAAUGUGAACUAUACCUGUCUACCGUUGCUUCGGCGGGCUCGCCCGCCGAGGGACCGACAAAUAAACUCUUGUAUUUCUAUCUUUAGCAUGUCUGAGUGGAAUCAUAAACAAAUGAAUCAAAACUUUCAACAACGGAUCUCUUGGUUCUG